CUCGUAGCCAUGGUGACGGGUGGUAACAACAGAGAAUGCCGUCCAGUCAUAUUCUUCAAGCACUUCGAAAAUCACCUCAAGUUGGAGCAUUGUGGAGCAAGUGAACUGAAGACUGGCUCCUCCGCCGACAGCAACAACAGGAACCCCAGUCUGUGCGGAGACAAACUCAAGCAUCGGAGCCAGAGGGGCACGGUUCGGCGGUGGAGGUCUCUCCUCCUCAAACACCAAACCCUGCAACAAAGGUUGCAUUGGGUCAAAUAUCAUAUAAAGAUAAAAAGUAAUUAUAAAAGAGAAAUUUAGCAAAA